UGCAAGUCGAGCGGAACGAGUUGUCUGACCCUUCGGGGAACGACAACGGCGUCGAGCGGCGGACGGGUGAGUAAUGCCUGGGAAAUUGCCCUGAUGUGGGGGAUAACCAUUGGAAACGAUGGCUAAUACCGCAUAAUAGCUUCGGCUCAAAGAGGGGGACCUUCGGGCCUCUCGCGUCAGGAUAUGCCCAGGUGGGAUUAGCUAGUUGGUGAGGUAAAGGCUCACCAAGGCGACGAUCCCUAGCUGGUCUGAGAGGAUGAUCAGCCACACUGGAACUGAGACACGGUCCAGACUCCUACGGGAGGCAGCAGUGGGGAAUAUUGCACAAUGGGCGCAAGCCUGAUGCAGCCAUGCCGCGUGUGUGAAGAAGGCCUUCGGGUUGUAAAGCACUUUCAGCAGUGAGGAAGGGUGUGUAUUUAAUAGAUGCGCAUUUUGACGUUAGCUGCAGAAGAAGCACCGGCUAACUCCGUGCCAGCAGCCGCGGUAAUACGGAGGGUGCGAGCGUUAAUCGGAAUUACUGGGCGUAAAGCGCAUGCAGGUGGUUUGUUAAGUCAGAUGUGAAAGCCCGGGGCUCAACCUCGGAACUGCAUUUGAAACUGGCAGGCUAGAGUACUGUAGAGGGGGGUAGAAUUUCAGGUGUAGCGGUGAAAUGCGUAGAGAUCUGAAGGAAUACCGGUGGCG
rnacentral:rRNA from 1 species